ACAGGCACUUACGCAGACGGAUGGGAAGAGCUUGUCAAGCGUGUAAUUGGUUUCUAAGGGCUUCUGUAGCAGAGGGGAGCUGAGUUCAGUGGUCCUGGUGCAGGGUGAGGUCUGAAGGCAGACAGGUGGACAGCGAGUGACGACAUCGAAAUAAAGGAAACGACAGCAAGCAAAGCACAAGAUCAGUCAGUUUCAUCAACAUUCAGUAUAACGAGCCACUAGUGACUUUCCUCUUCCUUCUAUAGACAACAGAAGUGAGGAAGACGCCUGGUACCUGAGACUGAACUGCUGAUUGGAUGUAUGUAAACACUAGGGCUGCAUCAGGAUGGAACCACUGCUCAUGGGAAUAAGGAUGCUGCUCAACAGAGGACAAAGGAUAAUUGUAGAAAUAAAAAGACUGGGAGGAGAGGACUGCAGGCAACCACACGUGCUGGACUCCCCCUACUGGUGUAAGGUAAGGCCACUUACAUUUUAUUUUAUACAGCACAGUGGUUUAGUACAAUGCUCUCUGAAGCUAAGUGGUUGAGGGUGAUCACCUAAGGAAAAGCUGUUUCUCCAGUGUAUGAGGAAAGAUGGUUAGCUACAUGACAGAAAUCAUGUGGUAUUCACAC